rnacentral:lncRNA from 1 species
AACAAACAGGUACUCUCGCCAAAGAAAACAAAUGCCAGAAACAAAAACACGAAACGGUAAACACAAGUUGAGAAUAAGGGUGAACAAACAGAGACUCAACAAUGGAAGAGGGAAAGAGGAAACAAAACAAAUAUAAAAGAAAACAACUAAAGGGUGAACACACGCGAAAACAAAGAAAAGGGUGCCCAGAGAGAUUGCUCUCAACCUCCUGCCUACGUAUCUCAUCUGGUAUGAGAAUCAAGGCGACGUAGUUCCCCUUACCAGGGGUAAAACACUCUCCUAACCAGAG